GUCUUGUAAUGCGCCAUAAAAUCCAUCACUCAGAAGGCUGAACUGUGCCUUUAAAUAAGCACACAAACAGACAAACUUCGCUUCUUGAUAUGAAAUUCAGUUUAUUUUGAAAUAAGAAAAUACAGAUUAGUGAACAAAUACAAACUAAAGAGAUAAUUACAGUAAAAGUACAAAGGUAAGAUAAUUAUAAACUAUUUUAUAUGCAAUUAAGGUUUAUAAAAUACUAAGUACUAUUUAUAAAUCUAAAUACUUCAUAGUGUUAUUAAGUGUUUUGACUUUUGAGUUCAUAUUAAAUACUGGUAAACAAUGGCAGUAUUUUAGCAAAAGGUAGUGCAACACUGCAACCUCUAUAAUUAUUAUUUAGGUAGUGUCAGGAUGGAAUUUGAAUCUGUUGGAGCAAGUCUAUCACAGAGAUUUUAUGAACCAUGCAUGCAAUUUGUACAUAAUCAUAUAUUUGCCCAUUAUAUUUAUAAACUGGCAGUUAAUAAUUAAUCUUUCACAGACUAAUAAAAUCAUCUGGGGCCGGUAGUUCAAAGGCUUACACAGGCUUCGAACAACCGGGCCCAGAUGAUUUUAUUAGUAUGUGAAAGAGUAAUGGUAUUAACUGUCAGUUUAUAAAUAUAAUGGGCAAAUUAGAGAGAGUAUAUAAAAUACUAAAGUAGGCUCAUUGCCAAUUGAUGGAUUAGGUUAACAUAAUUAAUAAACUAUAGAUGGUUUUGUUGCAUCUCACUCGAUGGAAAUUUUAAUGUUGGGUUUUGUUGAUGGAUAAAUCGAGUACUUAAUAAUUUGAAUUAAAAUAUGGACCUAACCAGGCCAUUAUUGCCUGAAUGGCAUCUUAUUCAAAUAAUCAUUUAACUUGAAAUAAAGGGAUCUCCCUCAAUUGAUUUAGCCUGCAGAGGUGGCGCCAACCCCAUUCCUGGAUCACUUAACCUGAAAUUCAGUCCCUACUUUCAAUUUUCUGUCUGCAUCCUUUUGAAUGUUCAAUAUUUUUAACCUUACAUUAAUGAUAAUGUUUAUUCAAUUAAAGUCAACAAUUUCUUUUUCAUCCUGAGAACAUCCAGUUAAUUCAGUCCUCCUGAAUUUGUUUGACACUCCUUAGCAGUGAUAUUUCUGUAGAUUUGCCACUAUUUUAUUCCAGAUAUGAACUCACAGGCCCUAUAAAUUAAGAUUAAAUACAUAGUGCCAUUAAUUUACAAAACGG